rnacentral:rRNA from 1 species
UGAGUACGACGGAGCACGUGAAAUUCCGUCGGAAUCUGGGAGGACCAUCUCCUAAGGCUAAAUACUCUCUAGUGACCGAUAGUGAACCAGUACCGUGAGGGAAAGGUGAAAAGCACCCCGGAAGGGGAGUGAAAUAGAACCUGAAACCGUGUGCUUACAAGUAGUCAGAGCCCGUUAAUGGGUGAUGGCGUGCCUUUUGUAGAAUGAACCGGCGAGUUACGAUUUGAUGCAAGGUUAAGCAGUAAAUGUGGAGCCGUAGCGAAAGCGAGUCUGAAUAGGGCGUUUAGUAUUUGGUCGUAGACCCGAAACCAGGUGAUCUACCCUUGGUCAGGUUGAAGUUCAGGUAACACUGAAUGGAGGACCGAACCGACUUACGUUGAAAAGUGAGCGGAUGAACUGAGGGUAGCGGAGAAAUUCCAAUCGAACCUGGAGAUAGCUGGUUCUCUCCGAAAUAGCUUUAGGGCUAGCCUCAAGUGAUGAUUAUUGGAGGUAGAGCACUGUUUGGACGAGGGGCCCCUCUCGGGUUACCGAAUUCAGACAAACUCCGAAUGCCAAUUAAUUUAACUUGGGAGUCAGAACAUGGGUGAUAAGGUCCGUGUUCGAAAGGGAAACAGCCCAGACCACCAGCUAAGGUCCCAAAAUAUAUGUUAAGUGGAAAAGGAUGUGGCGUUGCCCAGACAACUAGGAUGUUGGCUUAGAAGCAGCCAUCAUUUAAAGAGUGCGUAAUAGCUCACUAGUCGAGUGACACUGCGCCGAAAAUGUACCGGGGCUAAACAUAUUACCGAAGCUGUGGAUUGUCCUUUGGACAAUG